rnacentral:rRNA from 1 species
UUGUGGAAAUUCUUUCGGGAAUGGAAAUGAAAUGAAAGUGGCGAACGGGUGAGUAACACGUGAGCAACCUACCUUACACAGGGGGAUAGCCGUUGGAAACGACGAUUAAUACCGCAUGAGACCACAGAAUCGCAUGAUAUAGGGGUCAAAGAUUUAUCGGUGUAAGAAGGGCUCGCGUCUGAUUAGCUAGUUGGAAGGGUAAAGGCCUACCAAGGCGACGAUCAGUAGCCGGUCUGAGAGGAUGAACGGCCACAUUGGAACUGAGACACGGUCCAAACUCCUACGGGAGGCAGCAGUGGGGAAUAUUGCACAAUGGGGGGAACCCUGAUGCAGCGACGCCGCGUGAGCGAAGAAGGUUUUCGAAUCGUAAAGCUCUGUCCUAUGAGAAGAUAAUGACGGUAUCAUAGGAGGAAGCCCCGG